UCCGCCAUAGCUCAGCUCAGUUGGUAGAGCGCAUGACUGUUAAUCAUGAUGUCACAGGUUCGAGCCCUGUUGGCGGAG
rnacentral:tRNA from 1 species